rnacentral:rRNA from 1 species
UACGUAGGGUGCGAGCGUUAAUCGGAAUUACUGGGCGUAAAGUGUGCGCAGGUGGCCGCGCAAGUCGAGUGUGAAAGCCCGGAGCUCAACUCCGGGUCUGCCGCGGAUACUGCGAGGCUUGAGUGCUGUAGAGGGGGGUAGAAUGCCGGGUGUAGCGGUGGAAUGCGUAGAGAUCCGGCAGAAGACCGGUGGCGAAGGCGGCCCCCUGGGCAGUAACUGACACUGAGGCGCGACAGCGUGGGGAGCAAACAGG